rnacentral:lncRNA from 1 species
UAUAUCUGAUAUCAUAUAUCUAAUAGGUGGCUAAUAUCCGAAAUAUAUAAGAAAUUCAAACAACUCAAUUGCAAAAAAAAAAAAAAAACCAAAUAACAACCAUAAUGAAAUAUCACUUCAUAUCUAUUAGAAAGGCUAUUAUCAAAAAGUCAAAAGAUAACAAGUGAUGGUGAAGGUGUAGAGAAAAACGGUCAACUGUAAAGUAAAAAUGACAUUGGUGUUCCAGAUCAAAGUAACUGAUAGAGGGAAACAGCCCUGAAACAAAACAGUGACUAUAAUUCAAAUAUUUGAGACUAAACAUCACAUCCCUUUAGUCUUCUUUUACAUGACCACAAAAAGAAACCACAUAA